rnacentral:lncRNA from 1 species
GUGCUGUGUCUGCAUGGAGAAGGGGCCGGAGUAAUGAGCAUGGAAGCUGCUUAUAAACUGCACCGCAGCGCUGUGAUAGCGCUAGGGCUGGCAGCGUUUCUUCAUAAGCCCACUGCCAGUGGUUUAAGACUCUGCCUGCAGACUCCAGCCCACUGCUGGCGUAUGGAGCGCCUGGGCACACACUUGUUCCUGGCCCCGCGGCUCCCUGCCCUGUCCCUGAGCCCUGCUCAUGCUCGGCCCCCAUCCUUGUGUCCGUGGGGAGCUGGACAGGGCUAGACCACAGGGCAGGGCAGGGGGCUCUGGUCCCCAGUAGGAGCAUCCAGCCAGCAGCCCUUUACGGGGCUUGAAGCUUGUCUGCACAUGAUGCUUUCACAGCAGCUGCAGUAGCUCCUGGGGUCCCAGUGACGAGGACAGCGAGGCGUCACCAGACAGGGAUGUGGGCUGGGAAAUGCCAGCAGCAUCAGCACCAAUGCUGGGAGUUGCCAUUUCCACAGCCAGCUCCUCUGCAGGGCGUCAGCAAGGCUGUCAGCCCAUCAAACCGAGCUCCCCAAGAAAUUCCUAUAGGAGAUGAUGAAAACACAAGCGGAAAAUACCCAGAAUUAACCUCCAAGCAAUCUUAGGCUGCAACAUAACUUUGGAGGGAAGUUUUUCUUCUCAUUUAAUAAUGGCAGCAUGGAGGGUGUUUAAUCAAUAAAUGCUCUGUCUUUGACAGACAUCAGCCUAAACCGAGGACAAAUCUGACAGUGAGCAAAGCCUCAGCCUCCAGGACCAGCCCCUCCUAGAGGUGGGGCUCCUGGGCCUGCAGGUGACCUGCUUGGACGGUUGUGCCUGGGGUGCCUGAGUGUCCACUGCUGUUUCAUCUCAUCUGGUCCCAACAGCUCUGCUCUUUCCUCAGUGAAGCAUCGUGCUCUGUGAAUUUCUGCACAAGGACGAGUGCACGUCCCCUCCUAGAGGGAUAGUCUGAGCACGUAAGAAGAGGUGGACUCUCAAGACAACAGUCAGGAAGGCUGUAGAGCUGAGAAAAUGUGCCAAGAAGCCUGGCAGAGCUGAGAACUUUUAAAUUAGAAAGAAAGACCCUGAGGAGCUGAAGGCCAUGCCAAGCCCAUUGGCCGUUCUGUGGGGCCGAGGACCUGCCCACAUGUUCAGCUGUGUGGCGAGUGAGUUGUCACGGGGGAGUCUGGAGGUCAAAGGUCAAGGAGGGGGCCUUUCUCAGCUCCUCAGUCGCAGAAUCAUAUUUGUCUCAAGCCAGUGUCACCUCAGAACCGCUGUGUCACUUCCACGCCCAUUGAUUCCGGCUUAGCCACAGUAAAUGACCAGCAGUCACCAUUCAUUCCGUUUUGUCAGAAACAGAGCUCGGCGGGCAUACAGGACACAGGGUGAACUUCCUGAGGAAGAAAGUCACCAGGAAAAGGGACGCUUCAGCCUCCGCUGAGCCCUGAGCCUAAGGACAUAAGACGCGAGGGUAAGUCUCCUGUCCAGGGCCUUGGCCUCCGCAUGGACUCCAGGGAGCAGUGGGGCCCGAGAUCCUGCUUUAAUGUCGCAUUCACCCUCCUCCCGGAACCAUGGGUGAGGGCGUGCAAACCAGGAGAGGUUCAAAACGUCGGCAGUAAAUUCAAGGUUCCCCUGUGGGCCAGGGCCUGAUGGUCACACGAAACAGAAUGCUGUAAAAGAAAAUUAAGCGGCCUGAAACACAUGCCUUGUCUCAUCAGGCACAAGGCUUUCUGGGCGCCCAAGGGGCUGCUUCCUCCUGCUUCUCUGCCGUCAUCCCCUAGGCACCUAGGGCAGCAGGACCCAUAGCAACACGUGAACUGUUGCAGGUGACAGCAGCAAGCCAAUGAGCAAGAGGAUGAGGGUGCUGGCCGGGCCGCAUGCAGGGCCAGGCACUCUACAGUUUGUACUGCUUCCCCACCCCCCGCCCUGUGUGAACCUGGGACUGGAAGAGACCUAACCAUUUACAGAAGCCGUGCUGAUCUGGGGCCACAGAUGGAAACACAUCAUCACUUCGGAACACUUGGGUGGGAAGCUCGCUGCUCAUUCCUAAUGGAUCUCCUUCAAGAGGGACCUUUGGAAUCUUUGACUUCAUCUUUAUGUCUCACAGAUUUAUAUCAGCCCUUGCAGCCAAUAAUAAUUUUCUCCCAGAUUAGACACAACACGCACAGCUGCUUGGCACGGCAGCCUGAGCACACAGCGCUCCUUCCAGGCGCAGGUGAUCCGCGGCUUUCAAAUAACGCCUGGACUGAUUUUCUCGUUUAGUGAAGCUGCUGGGUUAACUGUUCUUCUCAGUCACUCUGGGUUUCUUUCUCUAUCCGGCUUUAAUCCUCAAGUGCCCCAGAGCCUCAGGCCACCAAUAGUGGGGAAGAGCCACUUAGAAUGGUUUUUUAAUACAUCUUGUCUUGGUAAGCGGCCAAGCCAGGGGCAGCCAGGUGGUGUUAUCACCAGGCAAAGUCUGUGCAUGGUCUUGAGUAAUAACUUCUCUCCAAGCAGGAAGACACCUGCUGGGUGGGGAGAGCCAGCCGUCUCACUUCCCAAUAGGCCCUACUACUUUGGGAUUGAACAGGAUUCUGUGUUUUUCAUGGUCGAGUUGGGAGGGUCAGCAGGGGUGGGUGGCACAUCCUGUCCUUGAGCAGAGGGGCAGGUGGGCUUGUAAGACGAGGGUCCAGCGCCGCCAGUGCUGUCCCAGGCUCCCCACCCCGCAUAACACUCGGCUGCUCUGGUCACCGCAGGGCACCAGCUCCCACAGCAGCACCCACGCUGUCACCCCCAGGAGCGGGUCCUGGGUGGGGGCCCGGAUCCCAGGCCUGCCCAGGCGCUUCUGUGUCCUGGGACCACACCCUUCCUCUGUCCCAGCAGUGGCCUGUGUUGCACUGACUGCCCACCUGUCUGUCCCCUGGUGUAGGUGCUGACAGGUGCUUACCACACCUGAGUCGUCCGUCAGGCAGCUGCUCAAGUCACCUUGGGGCUUCUGCCCAUCGCUGCAGCCAUCCUGUCCCCUUGAUGCUUUGUGGUCAUUGUCAUGGGGGCCAAAUGCAGCGCCGAGGGGACUGCUGUGCAAGUCAGGACUGAAUCAGGUGAAUUCCUCCGUGACAUAGAUGGUAACCCACUGUCCUUGCAGUCAGAUCAAGGCUUAAAAAGGAUACAGUCUUGAGCAAGAUCACAGGACCAGCAGGAGCCCAGGUUCGCUCUCCAGCCUUGCAGGUUUGCAGCAAGAUCCAGGCAUCAGUUCUGUGUCCGAAGGCAGCUGCUGGUCUGCAAGAGGCUGGGACCACCCCGUCUCCCUGCCCUGCAGGGGCUCUGCCUCAUCCACAGGAGCCUCUCCAUCCUCUUCCCCAAGUCUGCAGCAACUCGGCUCUGCGUCCUGGAUGUGUGGGGACACUCCCGGCAGGAGCUGCCAUUGCUGUUGAAGUCCCUGUGACUGGCCAGGAUGCUUUGUAACAGCUGGUGUCCUCUUGGCUGCCUGGGAACCAACGGCCGUGUCUGAAUUGCUAAGCCUUUGCACCAGAGCAAACAGAAGCUUGCCCUGCUCCCUGAAAACAAACCUGAUGAUGGUGGCACCCAUUUUCAAAGCGUCUUUCAGGCCCAGAACUGCAGCUUUUGGGAAGCCCUGUGUGCCCGGGGCCGAGGGGUCGCGUCAGGAAGCCUGGUCUUGGGCUGGCCUCCGCGUUGUGUUGUCUGCACUUGAGCCAGACCUCUUUCAGUGGCCACCCACCCUCCGACAUAGUUGCAUGUGGACUUCAUUUGUUCUACGAAACGGUGGUGUUUCGAGCCAACGCUGUGAUCUUGUCCUCAGGCGCCUCCCCGUGUAGCCUUCACAGUGGAGGCCCCCGUCCGGGCCACAUCUUGGAAACACUGGGCUGCUCUCUAAUGGCCACAGAGGUUGCUCGUUUCUGAAAAUGUAAGACGUAACUGCCCGGGAAGGGACGUGAAGCUUCUACCAUGGGCUUUCUUAUCCUGUCGAGCUGCACAUUCCAUCUGGUACAAGUUAGGGUUUUGUGGCUAGUGCGCUAAAAACCUGUGAGUCCUGAAGCCCUAAAUGUUACUUACAAGUACCACUCCUGAAGGCCAGUGGGAGGAGGCCCUAGUGGAACCCUGCGGUCCCCAUCUGCAGUGGAGGGGGUCCUAGCGGAACCCCUGUGGUCCCCAGCCUCCAGGGCCUCAUCUUAGGAAGCAGGAAAUAGCUGAAGUUCACUUGCACAGCUCCUCGUGAUGUCAGUUUCUCAGCAGAGACUGCCAAAGCCCUUCCAACCUUAUCAAUGGAAUAAUCUUAUUUAACGUCAAUCAAACUCACCAUGCACUUCAGGGAGAGUCCAUUUUCUUGUCUAUCUUUUGAAGACAGAUUCUGUGCAGUGCACUUACACUGCAGACUGGAAGCAAAGGCGUAGAAUUUGCCUCCCGUCUUCUCUGGCAAAAACAUAUGCGUCUCGGGAAGUUUCCAGGAAUGCAAGUGUCCCUGGCUAACUGCUUUUUGUCUGCGAGGCCCCUUCUUGAUUUCCUCUGGUAAACAGCAUAAACAGGCCAUGCCUUCUCGUGUUGGGCCCAUAGUGGUGUCCCAACAGCUCCCCAGGAACUGGCGUUCCCUCGAGCACCCAAACCCAUACGGCAAGAGGUUUUCCAACAGCACCCGCCUUGGGAUUCACCACUGAUUCAUUCAGCAAGUGUUUACUAAGCCCCAGUUCUGUGCAAGGCCGCGGAGGACAAGAGUGACUAAGAGUGGCGAGAUCUAUGCCUUCACGGACUUACAUUCCUGUAGAAUGAAAGCAGCCAUCAAGCAAAUAAGCUGAAAACUGCAGAGACUUUGCGCAGGGCAGUGUGAGGCUGGCCGGGUGCAGCGUCCCCCGUGGAGGCUGUGCUAAGACCUCAGUUCCCUCCCGGGCCACCGAGGCUAUUUAGUAAACAGCAAGGCUGCAGUGAUGGGAUGAUG